rnacentral:rRNA from 1 species
AGGACGAACGCUGGCGGCGUGCUUAACACAUGCAAGUCGAACGAGGUCCAUCCGGUGGCAACACUGGAGAAGACCUAGUGGCGAACGGGUGAGUAACACGUGAGGAACCUGCCCCGAAGACCGGGAUAACAGCGGGAAACCGCUGCUAAUACCGGAUACCCCCAUCGGACCACAUGGCCUGAUGAGGAAAUGGAUUCCGCUUCGGGAGGGCCUCGCGGCCUAUCAGCUUGUUGGUGGGGUAACGGCCUACCAAGGCGACGACGGGUAGCUGGUCUGAGAGGACGAUCAGCCACACUGGGACUGAGACACGGCCCAGACUCCUACGGGAGGCAGCAGUGGGGAAUCUUGCGCAAUGGGCGAAAGCCUGACGCAGCAACGCCGCGUGAGGGAUGAAGGCCUUCGGGUUGUAAACCUCUUUCAGCAGGGACGAAGCGAAAGUGACGGUACUGCAGAAGAAGCGCCGGCUAACUACGCGCCAGCAGCCGCGGU